rnacentral:rRNA from 1 species
UACGUAGGGUGCGAGCGUUGUCCGGAAUUACUGGGCGUAAAGAGCUCGUAGGUGGUUUGUCGCGUUGUUCGUGAAAACUCACAGCUCAACUGUGGGCGUGCGGGCGAUACGGGCAGACUGGAGUACUGCAGGGGAGACUGGAAUUCCUGGUGUAGCGGUGGAAUGCGCAGAUAUCAGGAGGAACACCGGUGGCGAAGGCGGCUUUCUGGACAAAUACCGACGCUGAGGCACGAAAGCUAGGGGAGCAAACAGG